GCGUGAUUGGCUCAGUUGGUGGAGCAUGUGACUCUUGAUCUCAGGGUUGUGGGUUUGAGCCUCAUGUUGGGUG
rnacentral:tRNA from 1 species